CACGUCGAAUAUCGACAUCAUAAACACCAAAUUUGAUCGUGUUUAUUACGUCGAAUAUCGACGUCAUAAACACCUAAGUUGAUCGUGAUUAUGACGUCGAAUAUCGACGUCAUAAACAUCUAAGUUGAUCGUGAUUAUGACGUCGAAUAUGGGAGUCAUGAACACCAAAGUUGAUCGUGUUUAUCACGUCAAAUAUCGACCUCAUGAACACCAAAGUUGAUCGUGUUUAUGACGUCGAAUAUCGACGUCAUAAACACCAAAGUUGAUCGUGUUUAUGACGUCGAAUAUCGACGUC
rnacentral:miRNA from 1 species